UGGAUUUAGCAUGUAAAACCCACCUCCCAGAAAAACUGAACCCAGUUAAAAAUAACAUUCCCUAAAACAUCCUUAAUCCCCAAAUAACCUAAAAUCUGCAGGAAGGACAGAAAGGAUCGUGACUCUGAAUCAGAAGAAUCUUCCUCUUGACUCUGAAGGAAAGAUUUGUCAGAAAUGCCAAAUAUCUCUCUACUAGGAGGCUCAGCUGACAACUGGGAGCUGUGAUAGCAUGAAGUACUACCAAAUUUACUCAUUGACUGCUCAGAGACAUCUGGACUGUACAAUAUGAAAGAAUUCUGAGUAUGGUGUACACUCCGCAAUACGAGACCAGCAUGGAGCAGUUACCCAUGAAACUCUGAUCAGACAGGAGUAAUAACCACCUUCCUGUGGAAAAAAAAAUACUGAAAACAAAACCCUGUAUCCUCAACCUACUCAACUGAUUAUAGGAAAAUAUCUGAUUAUACCUGGAGAAUUUUAAUAAAGC